UACGUAGGGUGCGAGCGUUAAUCGGAAUUACUGGGCGUAAAGCGCGCGUAGGCGGAAGCGUAAGUGUGGCCUGAAAGCCCCCGGCUCAACCGGGGAGGGUGGCUGCAAACUGCGCUUCUUGAGGGCGAUAGAGGAGUGUGGAAUUCCUGGUGUAGCGGUGAAAUGCGUAGAGAUCAGGAGGAACACCCGUGGCGAAGGCGGCGUUCUGGACUGUUACUGACGCUGAGGAGCGAAAGCGUGGGGAGCGAACAGG
rnacentral:rRNA from 1 species